rnacentral:rRNA from 1 species
UACAUGGGGUGCAACGUUGCUCGGAAUUAUUGGGCGUAAAGAGCUCGUAGGCGGUUGUCGCGUCUGCCGUGAAGUCCGGGCUCAACUCCGGAUCUGCGGUGGGUACGGGCAGACUAGAGUGAUGUAGGGGAGACUGGAAUUCCUGGUGUAGCGGUGAAAUGCGCAGAUAUCAGGAGAACACGAUGGCGAAGGCAGGUCUCUGGGCAUUAACUGACGCUGAGGAGCGAAAGCAUGGGGAGCGAACAGG